UACGUAUGGUGCAAGCGUUAUCCGGAUUUACUGGGUGUAAAGGGAGCGCAGGCGGCACGGCAAGCCUGAUGUGAAAGCCCGCGGCCCAACCGCGGGAUUGCAUUGGGAACUACCGGGCUGGAGUGCCGGAGAGGUAGGCGGAAUUCCUAGUGUAGCGGUGAAAUGCGUAGAUAUUAGGAGGAACACCAGUGGCGAAGGCGGCCUACUGGACGGUGACUGACGCUGAGGCUCGAAAGCGUGGGGAGCAAACAGG
rnacentral:rRNA from 1 species